UACGUAGGGGGCAAGCGUUGUCCGGAUUUAUUGGGCGUAAAGCGCGCGUAGGCGGCGCGGUAUGUCGUGCGUGAAAUCUCCCGGCUUAACUGGGAGGGGCCGUGCGAAACUGCCGGGCUUGAGGUCGGAAGGGGAAAGUGGAAUUCCGGGUGUAGUGGUGGAAUACGUAGAUAUCCGGAGGAACACCAGCGGCGAAGGCGCUUUCUGGUCCGAUACUGACGCUGAGGUGCGAAAGCGUGGGGAGCGAUCCGG
rnacentral:rRNA from 1 species